AACGAACGCUGGCGGCAGGCCUAACACACGCAAGUCGAGCGAAGCCUUCGGGCUUAGCGGCGGACGGGUGAGUAACGCGUGGGAACGUGCCCUUUGGUACGGAAUAGCCCCGGGAAACUGGGAGUAAUACCGUAUGUGGUCGAGAGACGAAAGAUUUAUCGCCAAAGGAUCGGCCCGCGUUGGAUUAGGUAGUUGGUGGGGUAAUGGCCUACCAAGCCGACGAUCCAUAGCUGGUUUGAGAGGAUGAUCAGCCACACUGGGACUGAGACACGGCCCAGACUCCUACGGGAGGCAGCAGUGGGGAAUCUUAGACAAUGGGGGAAACCCUGAUCUAGCCAUGCCACGUGAUCGAUGAAGGCCUUAGGGUUGUAAAGAUCUUUCAGUGGGGAAGAUAAUGACUGUACCCACAGAAGAAGCCCCGGCUAACUCCGUGCCAGCAGCCGCGGUAACAC
rnacentral:rRNA from 1 species